UUGAUAUUAUUUUUAAGCUCCGCAGAAAGCAUUUGCCCCUUGUAAUCUUUCCAAAUGCUCAAUAUCUGAUCAUGAGCACGGGAAACCCAUACAGAGAUGGAGUGAAUUGCAAAGCGUUUGAGUGCAGCUGGUAAAAUAUUUUUUAGCAUCUUACUGCCCAUGAAAAUAGUAUUUCAGUAUCAUAAAAUAAUAUAACAUAAUGUAAUAUCAUAUCGUAUGCAUGCUGCGACAUAUCAGGAACAUAAACUGUAUCAAUCCACUUUUCAGGCAUGUUCUGGCCCCAAUAGUUGCAUUUAUUUUAUUUUUAGUGUGCUUGUUUCACAUUGGAUGCAAUUGAGGACAAGAUGUCUCCAAUUGUUGGUGGGUUUGAGAGAUACCAGAUCCAGAUGACCCUUGCUUUGGAUUGUGUAAUCAUGGCGCAGCAAAUUACUGGACAUCAGAACCAAGAGGAGAUUAACCUUGUCGUAUAGAGAGUGCUGAAAGGCUCAGCCUAAUCCGAUACCACCCAAAAUAUAAUUUCUAUGACAUUUAUAUCCUUGCAAUGAACUUUGUAAUAGAUUGUACACAGAGUAACUCCCUAUCUUCGUAUCUGGUAUCAACUUGACCAAGUUAUAGCUGAGAGGAAGCUUCAUCAACAUCAUCCAGAACUAAAUCGUCACACACAUUUCCCUUCCAUACUGUAUGUACCAAUAAAACAAUAGUGCAGGGGACUGGAUGUACACAGAUAAAGUUGC